rnacentral:rRNA from 1 species
AGCUCCAAUAGCGUAUAUUAAAGUUGUUGCAGUUAAAAAGCUCGUAGUUGGAUUUUGGGUUGGGUCUGUCUAACCGCCGCAAGGUGUGUACGGAUGGGUCCUUCCUUCCUCUUGAAGACUCCAUGUGCACUUUACUGUGUGUGUGGCAGGAUUCGAGACUUUUACUUUGAAAAAAUUAGAGUGUUCAAAGCAGGCCUUCGCUUGAAUACAUUAGCAUGGAAUAAUGAAAUAGGACGUCGGUUCUAUUUUGUUGGUUUCUAGGACCGAAGUAAUGAUUAAUAGGGAUAGUUGGGGGCAUUAAUAUUUAAUUGUCAGAGGUGAAAUUCUUGGAUUUAUGAAAGAUUAACUUCUGCGAAAGCAUUUGCCAAGGAUGUUUUCA